UAGGGCCAUAUCAUAUUGAAACACCAGUUCUUGUAUGAUCACUGAAGUUAAGCAACGUCGAGCCUGGUUAGUACCUAGAUGGGUUACCGCUUAGGAAUACUAGGUAGCUGGC